UUCUGCAUUAAAAAUUCAGGAGAAAAGAGGGCUGUGAUAAUCAGCCCUCUCUUAAAAACUCUUACAUGAGCGAAUGACACAUAAGUAGGCACUUGAACUUUGCUCUUUCACCUGGUUUAAGAACUACCUAUGGGUGGGAAGGCUCUGAAAGUGUUAUAUACAAAUGAAGCUCUGCUCACCAGAUGGAUGAUCAUGAAGGUCUGAAUAUCAGUAGCGUGGCAGUAAAUAAAUAAACAGGAAUACAUAAAAAUAAAUAAGAGUUUCACUAAAGGAAAUUUAAACACCUAUAACCCUGUGCUUUCUCAAAACUUCAUUAGGUACAUCUUCACAACACGUUGAUAAAUAGAAACUAGAUUUUAUGGCUAGUGUCUCUUCUCUUGGGCCAUGCCUUCAAAAUGCCAGUGAACAUUUACUGAUUAAGAGUCUGUCGUUUGCCUCAGAAUGUAGCUAUGC
rnacentral:lncRNA from 1 species